rnacentral:rRNA from 1 species
AAUAGAUACCCCGGUAGUCCACGCCGUAAACGAUGAGUGCUAAGUGUUAGAGGGUUUCCGCCCUUUAGUGCUGCAGCUAACGCAUUAAGCACUCCGCCUGGGGAGUACGGCCGCAAGGCUGAAACUCAAAGGAAUUGACGGGGGCCCGCACAAGCGGUGGAGCAUGUGGUUUAAUUCGAAGCAACGCGAAGAACCUUACCAGGUCUUGACAUCCUCUACCAACCCUAGAGAUAGGGCGUUCCCCUUCGGGGGACAGAGUGACAGGUGGUGCAUGGUUGUCGUCAGCUCGUGUCGUGAGAUGUUGGGUUAAGUCCCGCAACGAGCGCAACCCUUGAUCUUAGUUGCCAGCAUUUAGUUGGGCACUCUAAGGUGACUGCCGGUGACAAACCGGAGGAAGGUGGGGAUGACGUCAAAUCAUCAUGCCCCUUAUGACCUGGGCUACACACGUGCUACAAUGGAUGGUACAAAGAGCUGCGAACCCGCGAGGGUAAGCGAAUCUCAUAAAGCCAUUCUCAGUUCGGAUUGUAGGCUGCAAC